UACGAAGGGGGCUAGCGUUGUUCGGAUUUACUGGGCGUAAAGCGCGUGUAGGCGGACUUGUAAGUUGGGGGUGAAAUCCCGGAGCUCAACUCCGGAACUGCCUUUGAUACUGGCAAGCUAGAGUCCGGAAGAGGUAAGUGGAACUCCUAGUGUAGAGGUGGAAUUCGUAGAUAUUAGGAAGAACACCAGUGGCGAAGGCGGCUUACUGGUCCGGAACUGACGCUGAGGUGCGACAGCGUGGGGAGCAAACAGG
rnacentral:rRNA from 1 species